UACGUAGGAUGCAAGCGUUGUCCGGAAUUAUUGGGCGUAAAGAGCGCGCAGGCGGUAUGACAAGUCAGAUGUGAAAGAGGCCGGCUUAAACCGGGCAAGGGUCAUUUUGAAACUGUCAGACUAGAGUGCAGCAGAGGAUAGUGGAAUUCCCGGUGUAGUGGUGAAAUGCGUAGAUAUCGGGAGGAACACCAGUGGCGAAGGCGACUAUCUGGGCUGCAACUGACGCUGAGGCGCGAAGGCUAGGGUAGCAAACAGG
rnacentral:rRNA from 1 species